UCCCGCGAAAAAUGGUUUGCCUGUAAUGGGAUGUGCAAUGGGGAUGAGAAUGAUUAGUAAAACGCCAUCACUCGAAUCAUAUUAACAGUAGCAGAUAUGAUAGAGAAAACCCGGGUUAAAACCAACCGUGCAAAUCGCGCACUUUCAGCUGCGUCAGAUAUGGCCCAAGAAUCGUUCGCAUUGCGGCAUCAGUAACUUCACGAGAGUGCCGAUUGUAGUUAGAACGCAAACACUUCCCAUCACUGUGCAACAUUAUGGCCGAGCUUUGUGUAAAUGCAAUGGUAGAAGCAGAAAAGAUUCUAAAACUGAUGAUUCCGAAACACAACCUUUGGAGACGCUUCUCAAUCACUUCAAUCACGGAAGAACGCUACGAAUUGACUGCACUGCACGGGGCACGGAUUAUGCGAAAGCAUGGCAAUUAUGUUCGUGUCUGCCCCUGAUUGGCUAGCGCCCUUAGUUACCGUUGCCAGGUAGUGGAUAGCAAAGAAAAGGCGGAAUGUUGAAUUGCGACACAUGGCGAUUGAAGCAUCUGUCACUAUUUUCAUUGAUCUGUCAAAAUUCCUUUGGAAAAGUUGCAGUAUUCUGAAUUAGAAAUAUUGCUAUAGUGUUACGGAUGUGUAAAGUUCGGAGACAUAUGAAGAAAACAGCUUUAACUAAAUCAUUCCUCACUGGAAGCUCUGAUAUGUGCCAGGAUUAACGUCUCGCUUCAGACACGCAAAGCCAAACCAGCACCAUCCAUCACAUAAAGAACCUAGCCCAUCGCGGCGAAGGUAGCGGCCGUAUUGACAAACUGGCGACCUGACGGUUCCGGCUAGACGGCAGCGUACAGGAAUUGGAAAACUAUUAGCCCCUAAAAUGUGAGACUCGGCGUGUUUGAAACCAUGCGCACACUUUGUUUGAUUAGCUGAUUGGAAAGUAUGAAGCGGUAGACGGCGGACCACCCUGCCCGAUAGGGUUGCACAGAUGGUUGUUUGCUGUUUGGCACAAAAUUGCCUACUUCAAGCAUCAUUGACAGACCAGAUUAAGACCUAAAUCGUGCCUAACGAUGGGUGGGAACAUAGUGUUCCAAUAUUUAUGCACAAACCCUUGGCGUGCGGGAAACGAUUGGCUGUAUGCUCCUAACCAACCCAUAAUGUGACCGAGUGCUAACGUUGCCACAGGAGUGUUUUCUACAGCGUACGCCAGCCCUUGGGAGAAAAUAGGCAAUACAACAAUUCCUUAUAAACGCCCUACAGACGCGGGGCAAUCUGGUCCCUCGUACCAGUGGGAACACUUAUCGUGUGUGGAAUGAUGGUGGCUUACCGGCCUCCUUCACUGCACUGCUUCCUGCGUAUAGUUAGGCUAGGCGGGGUAGGAAAUGGGGGGUGUCGAAUCUCCCUUCCUGUUCCACGUCAAACGUUGCGUGCGGCACGAGCUGCAUUUCAACGUACAACAUUACUAGUCUUGAUUAUGUGUGCCUGCUGUGCUCGGUGUGGAAGGCUUAUCGCCGCGUGGCCAGGAAAGUUGUGCGCGCUGGGGUGCGAGAAAAAUUAUUAUCAAAAUAAUCGUAAUUAUCGCUUGUAAUUUGUAUUUACUAGAAACGCCUACUAGCCACCGGGGACAGCGAGUGAGAGAGAAUAGUGACGAUUAGUCCAAGGAUUAUUGCCCUGUGCGUUCGGGGUCGAACGUUUUGCUGUAUGGGUUGAGUCCGUGGUGCGCCCGGGAAAGAUUGCAUGAUUUAAUUUAAUCUACCCCCGUUGUUCAUGCCCACUGCUACUUCUGGUGCUCGGAACCCAGAAACCGAAUGGAUAUUACGUUGUUUGAAGAAGGUUGAUAGUGCUGUUGGGAGUCGGGGAUCCGUACGUGUCACGCUUGUUGACGAGUUGGGGCUUUUUUAUCGUUUAGCAUGAAGCCUACGAACAACGGGCUGUGGACCGAUAGGAUCGAAUCCUCUCAGGAACACGAACCAGUAAUUAAGUAUCGUUUGUAUGGUUUGCCGUGAAUGCCGAUUGGAAAAUAUUCUGCAGGAUUGAGGUGCAAAGAGUUUUAUUGCAGCUCUAUUUUCGAAGUUUUAAAUGAAGCGAAUGGUUCAACUGUAAAUAGUAAUUGAAAAUCGAUUUACGAACAUAGUGCUUUGAUUCGUGUACAAUGCCCGUAAUAGUUGUUUGAUUCGAGACCAUCAUUGUACAAUAUUUUUCAUCGGGGUUUUUAUUUUUCUCAACAUAAAACGUAUAAUGUAACGUGUUUUGUUGUUAGUCAGAUAUUAUUCAUCUCCUCAUUGUGACGGCCAGUACUCCACACCGAAACCUUGCACAACAUUAAGCUAUCUUUUUGUCAAUCGGUUUUGCGCCACAUUUCGCAUAAUCGAGUUAUCCGUAAUGGUGUGCCAAGCGUAUACGAUACCACACGCCCACUCACGGGAGAUUUUCCACUUGCGAGACGUACACGUUGCGUUAGUUUCGCAAAACAAUACGAACCUAAGCAUCGGAAGAUCAUUCCGACGAAAGUCCUCACGGCUGAACAGCACACCCCACUACGGCAAACCCCAUCAUAAUGUGUAUGAAAAUGUAAUUUACAUUCAAAACAACCGCACACGCAGUGGUAUCCCGGUUUAAUUAAUAUUUAUAUUUACAACCAUCGUCAUCGUUGCGGCGCUCAUGCAUCCUGAAAACACUUAGAUGUCAACCCAUUGUGACGCUGUGGGCGCGCGCGUGGUAUGGCAGUUGGGUGUUUCGGCGGUGGCGGUAAUGUUCAUGGCUGCCUAGCCAGCCGGUAAGCAAUACAGCCAACCGUUUACGGUGACGAUUCCCGUGGCUAGCAUUAUCCGGCACCAUGGAAAGGGUCCGACCGGGAAGCCUGCUUGGCAAUUCAAUGAAGCAGAAGCGACGUGAUUCAUACGGGCCGGCAAACAAGCCAAUGGACGGACAGGUGAUCGCUGCGGAUGUGAUAUGUGCCACUGUUAUCGCACUAGGAAGAACAAUAAAGAUUCAUGUUUGUGAGAGUGCAAUUACAUCCGGGCGCUGUUGUUUUUUUUUUGCGGCUGUUGUAAGAGCUGGUGCGAAUGGAAUGUGUUUUAUGGACAACCUUUUCCAUGUACACUAUAUCCUUUCAUUUUCGAUUCGUUUUAGACGCUGUACGUAUCUACCACCGAUCGGAAAUUGAAUGGCGGGUCCAAAAUAUGAUCCACCGAAUGGGGGAGGUUUUAAUUAAAGGAUAGAAAAAUUUAUGGCAACAUGGAAGUGGAGCACUUGAGCGAACGUGUGAGAAACCAUUUAUUGAAUCGACCGCUGAGUGAACGUGUGCCCCUGUGAUCACGCUGUGGGAAAGUUGAGAGGAGAAAUGCUGCUCGAACAGGGCACAGGGGUUGGUACGUGGCCAACAAAAGAUUACUCCCGGAAAUCGUUACUUAUGCGCUGUGGAAUAAUAAGUGAGCGCCACGUUUUAAGGACGAAAGGACGGAUAAAAAAUGGAACCUCGUUCGCGUUCGUUCGUUCGCGUUAUCAAAUGGGUCCCGCGAUAAGGUCCCGCGGGAGCUUGAAAGUGUCCGCUCGGGCGUUUCAGUUGAAAAGGUGUUUGACGCGUAGAGGGCGAGAAUGUAAAAUCGCAACCGAAGCGGAAGAAAGAAAAUGGGAGGCAGAAAACACAAGACACAAAAUUAAAUCAACACUUUACGAUCCUGACCAUCGUUGUCAUCGACGCCGCCGUAACGCUGUAGCCUGGCGUCACGAUGUGGAAAACGGAAAACGUGCUGAAAGUAUAAAUCUUUAUUGCAAUCACAACGAAGACCACUGUGGGUGGGAGAUACGAGCCCACGGGUAGGGAAAACGUGUAUCUCAAGCGCUGAUUCGAGCAAAAGUUUAAACGUAAGUCCCCUCGUCGUUCGUCGUUCGAGAGCCAUAAAUUUGUAUCCGAUUUUUCGUUUUCGCUGAUUUAAUUUCUGGAAAACCACUCGGCCAGAAUGAAGGGCGUUUUUGAAGAGGAAUUUAAAAAAUCGCAACUAUUGUAUAUAAUAGUUGAUUCAGUUGGGUAAGGGAAUGGGGUUGAGAAUUCAAUGAGUUACCAGUCGUGGUCGUGUCGUUGGGUCAGAUCGUAACAGUUUGUUGUGAUGUUAAUUUAUGCAGGAACAAAGAUACACGAAACUGAAGUGAAAAUAAAAAUCGGGAUUUCAAUUGCA